rnacentral:rRNA from 1 species
GGAACACGUGGCCCACCUGCCCUUAAGUGGGGGAUAACAUUUGGAAACAGAUGCUAAUACCGCAUAGAUCCAAGAACCGCAUGGUUCUUGGCUGAAAGAUGGCGUAAGCUAUCGCUUUUGGAUGGACCCGCGGCGUAUUAGCUAGUUGGUGAGGUAACGGCUCACCAAGGCGAUGAUACGUAGCCGAACUGAGAGGUUGAUCGGCCACAUUGGGACUGAGACACGGCCCAAACUCCUACGGGAGGCAGCAGUAGGGAAUCUUCCACAAUGGACGCAAGUCUGAUGGAGCAACGCCGCGUGAGUGAAGAAGGCUUUCGGGUCGUAAAACUCUGUUGUUGGAGAAGAAUGGUCGGCAGAGUAACUGUUGUCGGCGUGACGGUAUCCAACCAGAAAGCCACGGCUAACUACGUGCCAGCAGCCGCGGUAAUACGUAGGUGGCAAGCGUUAUCCGGAUUUAUUGGGCGUAAAGCGAGCGCAGGCGGUUUUUUAAGUCUGAUGUGAAAGCCCUCGGCUUAACCGAGGAAGCGCAUCGGAAACUGGGAAACUUGAGUGCAGAAGAGGACAGUGGAACUCCAUGUGUAGCGGUGAAAUGCGUAGAUAUAUGGAAGAACACCAGUGGCGAAGGCGGCUGUCUGGUCUGUAACUGACGCUGAGGCUCGAAAGCAUGGGUAGCGAACAGGAUUAGAUACCCUGGUAGUCCAUGCCGUAAACGAUGAAUGC